UGCGUAGGUGGUGAGGUAAGUCGGAUGUGAAAGCUCCGAGCUCAACUCGGAAAUGGCAUUGGAAACUACCUUGCUCGAGGGUUUGAGGGGGGACUGGAAUACUUGGUGUAGCAGUGAAAUGCGUAGAUAUCAAGUAGAACACCAGUGGCGAAGGCGAGUCCCUGGAAAACUACCUGACACUGAGGCACGAAAAGACUAGGGGAGGGCAAACA
rnacentral:rRNA from 1 species